UACGUAGGGUGCGAGCGUUCAUCGGAAUUACUGGGCGUAAAGAGUGCGUAGGCGGUUUCUCAAGUCCGCUGUGAAAUCCCCGGGCUCAACCUGGGAAUGGCAGUGGAAACUAGGAGACUUGAAUCUGGCAGAGGGGGGUGGAAUUCCACGUGUAGCAGUGAAAUGCGUAGAGAUGUGGAGGAACACCGAUGGCGAAGGCAGCCCCCUGGGCUGAGAUUGACGCUCAGGCACGAAAGCGUGGGGAGCAAACAGG
rnacentral:rRNA from 1 species